GUCGUGUUCGGAUUUGAAGGUAGCAGGUCGGGUUCGUGUUCGGAUUUACAGUUUCCUUAACAGGUAACGGCUGCAGAGUGCAGAGUGGCAUGAAAAACAGAUCAGACUUUUUGGAGCAGAUUUAAAGAAUAAAAAUCACGCUAGGAAUUCUGCCAUGAAGGAACAAGGUGGAGGGAUUGGGAAGCAUCUCCCACAUAUUUAUUUAUUUGUUUUAGUUCAUAGCCCUAAAGCCAAUUUUGUCAUAAAAUUGGACUCUAUUAUAUAUUGAAGAAGCCCGAUUAUAUUACUUCACA